rnacentral:rRNA from 1 species
GAUGAACGCUGGCGGCGUGCUUAACACAUGCAAGUCGAACGGAAAGGCCCAAGCUUGCUUGGGUACUCGAGUGGCGAACGGGUGAGUAACACGUGGGUGAUCUGCCCUGCACUUCGGGAUAAGCCUGGGAAACUGGGUCUAAUACCGGAUAGGACGAUGGUUUGGAUGCCAUUGUGGAAAGUUUUUUCGGUGUGGGAUGAGCUCGCGGCCUAUCAGCUUGUUGGUGGGGUAAUGGCCUACCAAGGCGUCGACGGGUAGCCGGCCUGAGAGGGUGUACGGCCACAUUGGGACUGAGAUACGGCCCAGACUGCUACGGGAGGCAGCAGUGGGGAAUAUUGCACAAUGGGCGCAAGCCUGAUGCAGCGACGCCGCGUGGGGGAUGACGGCCUUCGGGUUGUAAACUCCUGUCGCUAGGGACGAAGCGUUUUUGUGACGGUACCUGGAGAAGAAGCACCGGCUAACUACGUG